rnacentral:tRNA from 1 species
UGGAACAUAGCUCAGAGGCAGAGCUUUCGGCUUAUAUCCGAAGAGUCCCGGGUUCGAUUCCCGGUGUUCCAA